GCUUCAGUAGUUCGGACAUUCCUUCCCCCCAUUGCAGGGGAGCUCCAAGCCUCCCCUGAAAACCCUAAAUGUCGCAUUGGAACUCCCAUUAAAAACCCUAAUUUCUUGCACCUCAAGCUCGAGUUUUCUCUGUAAUGGUCAGGUGAAGGUUUGCAAGAUUUUCGUGGAGUCAAAUGCCUGAGUUUUGAUCAUAAAGGGACGAAUGGACAUGGAUCGCUGAGUGGAAUGCAGAAAUGUUGUCCUCGACAAGGUUUGGCGCUGCGUUCUUGCCAAGACGGGCCACUGUUCUUUUGAGUGUUCAGUUUAGUUUUGGGAACUCUGCUAAGGUUUUGCCUUGCUCAACAAAUGAAUGUGAUGAAUUCUUGCCAUGGUUGGAGAGGAAGGCAGGCAUUGAAGUUUCCUCGGUGCUUUCUAUAGGAAGUUCAACUCAUGGAAGGUCACUAUUUGCUUCAAGGUGUAUACAUUCUGGAGAUUGCAUCUUGAAGAUUCCUUACAGCGUUCAAUUAAGAUCAGAUAACAUCCUGCCAGAAAUUCAGCGUUUCUUGGGAGAUGCUGCAAGCAGCCAUGCUCGACUUGCUUUGCUUAUUUUGUUUGAAGAAAAUCUGGGCCAGGCAUCUGAAUGGGAGCCAUAUAUAAGUUGUCUCCCUCAAAUGGGUAUGCUUCAUAGCACGGUAUUCUGGAGUAAAGAUGAACUUGAUAUGGUUCAGUGUAGUCCAGUAUAUCAAGAGACUAUCCAUCACAAGGCUUGCAUAGAGAAGGAUUUCAUAGCUGUGCAACAGGUUGAUAUUAUCUUCUGGGCUCUUGGACACCUCCCUCAUUACUGCAGAGAUGUGACCUUCGAGAAAUUUAUGCAUGCAUAUGCUUUAGUGGAAUCACGCGCUUGGGGAACAUCAUCUAAAGAGCUUUCUCUGAUACCAUUUGCGGACUUUCUAAAUCAUGAUGGACGGUCUGAGGGAACCUUACUCAGCAAUGAGGAUAAAGAAAUAUCAGAGGUUAUUGCCGAUCGGGGCUAUUCUGCUGGUGAAGAGGUUUUAAUAAGUUAUGGAAAAUUUUCAAAUGCCUCGCUCUUACUCGACUAUGGUUUUACACUUCCAUAUAACACUCAUGACCAGGUUCAGAUUUGGUUUGGGAUGUCCCAGUUUGAGCCGUUUUACGAAAUGAAAUUGGAGCUUUUGGAUAAACACCAAAUAGCAGCUAUGGAUGAUGCAAAUGGAAUUGAGACAGUUGGGAAUCAUUUUACAAUUCGUGAAGUAAAAUCUGCGAGAGGAUGGGGAAGGGGCAUCCCACUGUCUCUGCGUGCUUUCGCUCGUGUUAUGACUGCUACUUCAUGCCAGGAGUUGGAAGAUUUGGUGAGAGAAGCUGCUCAAAAUGAUGGACGGCUUGCUCGGCGCCCGUUGAUGAAUAAGAUCAAGGAGAUUGAAGCCCAUCAAAUGUUACUUGAAAGAAUCGAGACUCUGAUGCAGGGAUAUUCUCCCUGCAUUUUGGUAGUCUUUUUACUUUUAUUGUGUUUACGUAUUCUAGUAGUGGGAGACUAUGUUGAUGGCUCCUAAAUUUUAAUUAUGUUUUUAGUAAUUGAAUUAUCCUUUUUCUCGGUAUUUAGAAGGUUCCAAAGUUCAAACUAAUUUUGAGUUCAAACUAAUUUUGAGAUUCAGGUUUUAAAAAAGAAGAGAGAAAAACAAGGAAAGCCAUUUUCAUUGGUCUAAGUUUGGGUUGUGUUGACCCAACGUUUCUAAUUAUCAAAUGUGUAGUGAUUAAAGAAUUGUUAAAUUGAGGAAACAUAUAUUAGAUAUUUGCUGAUGUUCUAAGUGGAAUAAUUAAGCUCAAUUAUUUCUGAUUUGUCAGAAGACAAAAUGAUAAUAAUGAUCAUCAUCAUUAGAGUCUUAUGUCAACUAUUUGGGGUUGGCUACAUGAAUUCUAUUAUACUAUUCUGCUUUAUCAAGGGUCAUACCUUUAGUAAGAACAUAAAUCUCCAUAUCUUUUCUCACUACUUUCAUCCAUAUCUUUUUGGGUCUUCCUCUUACCCUUUUAGAGUUCCAUUUGAAUCAAAUCACACCUCCGAACCGGUGCUGUAUUGGGUCUACACUACCUAUGAUCAACCCUCUUAAGUCUACUUUCCUUCCCUCAUCUUAUCACCUAUUGGAAUCACCUUUAAAUUCUCUCGAAUAUAUUCAUUCCAAAUUCUUUCUUUUCUUGUCUUACUACUCAUCCAUCUCAACAUUCUCAUCUCUACAACACUCAUCCUAUGGGUAUAUCAAAAUUCAAAAUUAUAAGACAAAAUAAUAGAUGUCAAAGUUCUCUGAGCAUGUUAGAACUCCUCCAGUUUAGCUCUCCAACUUCUCAAUCGCUUAUUUGUGCUUAUAAAAGUGUUGAUCCCUCCAUAAAGCAAGUUGUCAUCUCCUGAAGCUUGAAUGACAGAGAGAGAGGGGAGGAGGGGGAAGCAAAGGUGGUGGUAUUUUGGCAAUCAAAAUUUUCUUUGUCCAUGCAGUUGAAGAAUACGUGUACUGAGAACAGCCAACUUGAAAUGCGGAGAAAGAUGGCAAUUGAUCUUCUUUCAGG